CACUGAGCUGGCUGUGUUUACAAGAGCAUUCACCCAUGUCGUCAUUGGGUGAGUCUGACAGCCAAUGCCUCUACUGCUUGAGCUGCCUGGGCGCCCACGCACUUUUUGUCAGCAGCCUGCAUUCAUAGUCACACAACACAAGAUAUGUGCCACUCAUUAGCUUGUGCUCUUGAAUCAACUCCUUGCUUGAGAACACACACAUACACAAAACACACACUGGUGCCAGCCAGCACACAUGCUUUCAGGGCUAGCUGGCUGUGUCAGGUACUGCUAGUACACCCUUGGUGAUGUUUACAUGACCUGCUAACAACACUUCCAGGAUUUCCAGCAAGUUCACACUGGAGACAGUGUUUCUGUACGUUCCUGAAAGGUCGGAGCUUUUUUGUAAUUUCUGUGAAAUUGUCCAAGCGUAGGAACCAGUGACAACUUUCUUCCAGGCAAAUUAUUGUCCUGUAUUUAAGUUUCAUCACUGCCAGGUAGCCUGCCAGCCAGUCAGACAGACAACCCUCUUCAAAUCUACCACCAUGAUCAUCCUGCCGGGUAGGAGGCCCAGUCAUCAUGUAAACAUUGGAUUCUCUGUAUGAUGUAGCUCUUUUAUCUCACAUCUCCACCACGCUCUAACAUCUUUUGUGCCUUACAUUAGUGCUGAUUGAACAUAUCGUGGAGACUUCUCUGGAAAAAAGUGAUUAGUUUGGUGGCAUUAUCUUGUGUCUUUCUUUGUGAGUGCUCAGGAAAUCCUACCUAUGCAUGGAAGUUUUAUAUGGAAUACAGCCCCGAGGCCGAGGUCUGGAUGUGGCAGGUCCACCCCAGCCAGGCAACAACAAUGGUCCACUGGGUGAAGCUCCGAUAGUAGCCUCCCAGCCACGGUCCAGGAAAGGGAGACCUAAGGUGACCGGAGCACCAGGUCAUCGCUACCAGCAGCCGUGUCCUACAUGUGGCAAGGUCUUUGGCAGCUCCAGUGCCCUAGCCAAGCACAAACUCAUCCACAGCAAUGAACGCAGGCAUAAGUGUAUCCUGUGUGCCAAGAGCUUCAAACGGCAAGAUCACUUAACUGGUCAUAUGCUGACUCAUCGCAGCAAGAAGCCUUAUGAGUGUGCGGUGGAUAACUGUGGCAAGUCAUACUGCGACAUCCGUUCCCUUCGAAGGCAUUUUGAGUCCCAGCACCCAGGACUUGUGAUGGAAGACAACAUGAACUACACUGGGGAUGAGAAAGAUCCAGAACUGAUGGCAGCAGAGGCAGCAGCGGUGCAAGCCAACCGCCACAGCCAGGUUAUGAUGAGGGGAUCACCAGGGGCUGACUUUGCUCUAGGGCUGGGGAAUCCCCAAGACUUGAAUCAGUCCAGCUCCAGCCAGGACACCAAUGACAGUCCUGGCUCUAGCUCCAGUGCAGCGCUGCAGUCCCUGGCCCUCGCUGCGCAGAGGGUCCAGAACACGCCAGACCCUCCCCCAAGUCAGGGCCAACUGUCCUCCCAAGACAUGUCCACUUUAUACCGUUUGGACUCCUACACCUCACAGAUGUUCGGAGGUAACCUUCCUAGUAUGUCACAAUCUCUCCUCACUGGAGGAGUCAGUGGAAGCAUGGCCACCUCGAUUCCUGGAGGUGGGCCAAGAGAACUGUCUAUUCAAGUGCCCAACCCUAAGUUCCAGGGUUUGAGUCUCUCAUCAGGAACAGUUGGACUAAGUGGCAAUGGUAUGCUGCCCCAUCAGUCUCCUGGAUCAAACAGGUUUUCCAGUCAGUCCGGUCCUGAUCUUGGUAUAAGUCCGAAGAGUUCUUCGAACAAAAGACACACAACACAUGAGAAAGAAAGAGUAACAGUGAAUUGCACAGUGUGUAAAAGAACUUUCAAAAGUAUGCCAGCCUUAAAUGGACAUAUGAGGCUCCACGGAGGUUAUAACAAUGCUCGAGCAGAUGUAACGCCGAAGGUCUCGCCUUCCAAGCCAGAAGAAAAACCCCCACUGCCAACUGCAGCGAGUCUCAGCCAGCCCAGGCCUCUGGCUCAUCCAUCUAACGUGAAUCCUCCCAUGAACAUGCAUACCCAGCUUCCUCAAGUACAGAGUUCACAGGCAAUGGGACAACAUAGACCCUUAAGAAUGGUUGGACAAUCUGUUACCCCUCCUACGACAAUGCACCUGUCCUCCGUGUACACGAAUACUACUACCUCACAUGUGCCUUCAUGGCCUGAGUACAGGCAUCCACGACCGCACACGGUCAUGAGCGGCGGCAAACCGUCAUACCUGCCGAAUCUCUCGUUGAACAUGUUGCAGGAUGAACUGACGACGCUGGCCCACACUGCUGUAGGGUUGGCAGCGCAGUCGCAACCCUUGCAGAAGCCUCCAGUACAGAUGUCCCAGCCUCAUCAUCAACCACCUCAGCACCAUCCUUUACAUCACACAACGCCCCUUCCGACUGAUCGCAUCCAACCUGUCCAUCCAUUCAAUUCCAGAAUGCCUAUCGGUAGCAAACCUUUACAAAUGUAUAAUAAUCAGGUCAAUCAAAUUAUUCCGAAAGAAGAACCCAUGCCAUACCCUCCAACCACCUCUAUGGGGUCUCCAAGCCCUCCCAAGCUGGAAUCAAUGUUAAAACUUGCUCAAGAACAACAAAUCAGAUCAAAUGAAAUGCCGCAAAUUGGGCAUGCAAUCCCACCCAUCCUGGACUCCAAAGAUGAAAGUCGAUUGAAAGAGAAUGUUUUCCGAGAUCCACCUCCAGUUUUACCUACUGCGACAAAAAGGAAGCAACGCCCCCCAUCACUGUUCAUCCCGUCUUGGGCAAGCAAUAUGACCCCUGGAGGAAACGCACCCAGCACCUACCCUAGCCAGAUGAGGUCUCCCAGGGAGAUCGGUGUCCUUUACCGAAGCAACAGUAGCUCAACCCCACCACCCUACACACCCCCUCCUAUGCUUAGUCCAAUUAGAAGUGGCUCUGGAUUGUACUUCAGUGUUGGAAGUGGUAGUAUGCCUCCCUCUGCCGCAGUCACAGUAGCGGUGGCGGUCACACCAAAGUCUGCUUUCCCUCCCAGUACUCCAAGUAUGCUUCAGAUGCACAGGAGAGGAAGCAUUAGCUCAAGCACGGAGGAAUCUGAUUUUGUCUUCCCAUCUGAACCACACAUCAAUGUGGGUGGUGAUUAUCAAGCGGCAGUUCCUGAGCUUGUAAAGAACAAAGAGGAAUUGGAGGCACCGGACUGGAGAGAAGGAAAGCUUGUUUGGGAUCCAGCGAUUGAACAAAAAUACUCAGAAGUAGAGUUGACAGAUUUCCUGAAGUUAGCCACCACACCGGCCCUAACUGCAGGGGCGAGAAACAUCGAGUAUGCCCAUCAUUGCCUCUACAGAGCCGAUGGAGACAUUGAGCUGGCAUUACUGAUGAUAUUGAAUGGAAACCCAAUGGUCGCUGAUGAGUUUCUACACAUGGCUGACUAUAAAUAUGACUUUUCUGAAGAAUGGACGGUUGCAGAAAGGAAGCUCUUCAGAGACAUGUACAAAACGAAGGGAAAAGACUUCCAUGAAAUUGCAAAAGGGAUCCCUACGAAGACCGUCCGAGACUGCGUGGAGUACUACUACUGGUGGAAGAAACUCUAUCCAUACAAUCACGACAUGCAGAAGUACUGCCAUCACAGUGGAGCCAACCCCAAUGAAGAAAGUCGCAAGAAUGAAUGUGACCUAUAUCCCGGUGAGACCUUCUUAGAUUACGUGCCUCUCAAAGAGUACCGGCAUGAUAAGUACUAUAGGGGCGGGUCAUCUAACCCCAAGAACAAUAAUAGUGUGAAACCUUCCUCUACCACUAAUCAGGAGGACAAACCUGCCGCCCAGCAAGGAUCCUUUGUCUGCAAUUAUCCACACUGUGAUGCGUCCUUCAAGUCACGGCAAGCUUUGAAUGGACAUAUACGGGUACACGGGGGCAGCUACAAACCCAAUGCAGCUACAUCCAAUGCCUCAACCAACAAUUCAUCGAGAACGACCACCUCCUCAUCUGCCUCAUCGACGUCGUCCUCGUACCGCGGAGGGGGUGGGGUCGGUCAGAACACGAAGCAGAUGCCCCCCGAGUCGUCAUCGGAUGAGAUGUCAAACGAAGAGGAGGAGGAAGAGAGUGAUGAGGGAUCAUCGAGGGAGCUGAGUGAGAACGAACGUGACGAUGAUGACGAUGAUGGUAUGACCAGUGAGGAUGAUCACCAUUCUAGAUAUCCAGGCAAGAUGCACCAUAGAACUUUUGACAAGGUAAAGAGCCGGAACGUCCACAUGAGAAGCCACCAUGCAGCUGAUAAGAAGGACCGGAUGGGGUACGGUGGAGGCAAGGAACAGCAGAUGUUCAACCACUACAUGGAACAUGACAGCAGGAGUUGCUCCAGCAGUGAAGAGGACGAGGAGGAGGAGGACGAUGAGGAGGAAGGCAUGGACGAUGACGGAAUGGAAGACGAUGACGAGAUGUUGUCCACAGAGGACGAAGAGGACGAUGACAUGUCGAACUGAAGUCGACGUUGCUCGAGGAAAUGACAGGAGUUGGUGGAGAUUCGGACUGAAUGUUAAAAGUGGAUUUUGAUGAACGUGUGUGAAGAAAUUAACUCGAUACCAGGAGGUCUUGUGUUGUAGCAGCUGUUAACGUGAUGAAACUGGAUGAAAAAAAUGAGAAUGUUUCCUCAUAUUUUCAUGUGUACUGGGCGUGAAGAUUAGGAUCUAUUGAGAUAUACUUUGUGAAUUGUAUUUUUCCUCCCGUUUGUUUCAGUCUUUGCAUCUUGGAACUUGUAUUGGUCAGAAUCACUCGGCAUUAGGAGAGAAGGUAAAGGGAUUUCACCGACAAAUGAACUCUUAUGAUAUAAUUUCAUGUAGGCAUCUUUUAUAGAGAGUCUGAAUCUAUUCAGUACCGUUUUGAUCACUACAUUUUGCUUUCCCUAUGAAAAUUGUAAGAAAUGUGAUUCUUAUUCUUAUUGAAGAUGGGUGAAAUAGAUUCUCUAAAGUAGUGAGAAUAAUAAUUGAAAACAAAAAUUAAUCCUGAAUCCUAAGUUUUGUAACUUGAUUAAAUUUUAAAAUAAAUGUCAGUGAAAAUACCAAGUGAACCUGAUGGAGAUGGUAUGGGGUAUGUAGAUUGAGUAAUAUAAUAGACCAAGACUUUGCCAAACGAGAUUUAAGUGCAAUGGAAUGUAAUAGAAAAUUUGUUUACGAAAUGAUGGAUGUUUCCUCCAAAGGAGUUAUCAAAAUAAAUAAAUUGAAUUGAAUUGAAUUUGAAUUGAAUUGAAUUUCCACACUGGGAGGCUGUGGUAUAUAUAAUGGACUAUUUGGAGUCUUAAUAGCACUGGGGCAGCCUGGCAUUUUCUGAAUAUCCAAUUAUUAUGAAAAAAAAGUGAAAUAUCUUCCAUUGUUUCUACAAAUUAAAAGUUCCCAAUGAUAACAUGUGUUGGUAUUUUGGAAUGUCGAUAAUCAUAAUGAAUAAUAAAAUACUGCAAAAAAAAAAAGAUGAUUUGAAUCAAAAGGACAAAAAAUAUUUGAGACAGUAAUGGAAACAAUUUCUAUUCAAGUUAAUUCAAAUCAAUUUAGCUACCCCAAUUUUUCAACCUUUAUUUAAUUUAAUAAAUCUAUUAUUUAAAAAAAAGGUACUUUUUGUACAUGAAUUCGACAAGUCCCAUGGAUCAUUUGAUAAAUAGUGAUUUUCAUUGACAACUGUUAGCUACAGAAAUCCUAGUAUCUCAAUUGUAAAAUAUUAUUUUUACAAGAACAUUCUUAGAGAUUUUCAAUGUAAUUUUGAAUUUUUCUGUCGUCAUGUGGAUGAUUUUCUAUAACCAUUACAAUGUCUUACAGUAUUUUGCUACACAUAUCAGUAUUAAGUCCCUUACAGAGAGAUUGCAGGCCUGCCAACGACUCUUUUUUUCCCAGGAGUUAACUGUUUUAAGAUUUUUUAUCAACCAAAGGAGCAGCACUCUGUUUUUCCAUUUAUUUAAGAAAAAAAGAAAUCAGCCCAUAUACAUACUGUAUUUGUGUAGUUUGGUAUGGUUGUGUGUAUUGGGCGUAAGAGUAAACUAGUUUUUCAACACUUGACAAUUUCUCAAUGUUUAAAUAUAAAGAAUGCUAAACAUGUCUUAAUUUAAAAAAAGGUGAGGGAGACACACCUGACAUCGAGCAGAAAAAUCUGCGCCGUGCGAUCAGGACUCCUUUUCUUUCAUUUUCAAAUGUUGGCAGGCCUGGGAUUGUGUUUAAAGAAGAUACUCUCAUAUCUGAUGAAAGAUUAGCCGUUUGACUCUCUUUAUUCUGUGAGUAGUAAACUGUAUGUAUAAAGUAAUAGGGUCAACACCCACUUUUGUCAGAUUUCUUUUCACAUUUUGAGAGCUUUUUACAUGUUAUUUUGAGAGCUUUUUACAUGCUUGGGCUAUGGUGAAUAGUACCUAGUGCACUGUUUGUGUCUUAUUUUGAAACGUAACACCGUGUUGUCACAAAGCAUUGACAAAUUUUUAAAAUCCCAACGGCAUUGUACUUAAAACAUUCUUUGCUGACGCUGAAAUGAAAUUCUAAUUUGAGGUAUUUUAUAGGAAUAUAGAUGAUAGACAGACUGAACAUUAUUUCACAGAGUUGAGCACCAAUGAAUGAUAUUCAAGUGGUGUCACUUCUUUUUAUUUGACCGCUAUAAGUUCAUGGUGCAGUUAUCGUGGCAAAAACGCUGUUAUGGGCAUGUGCAGAAUAGUUAAUCCUUGUCCGGCACAUGUGAAUAACAGUUUUUUUUUUUUAACCAGGUAGACAUUUCACAGAAGUAAUGUUGCAAAUCUAACGUUAUUUCAUUUCAAGCAGGCAAAUCUACAAGAUGUGGUUUAUACAUAUGAGCAAUCUGUAAAAACUAUUUUAAUAUCUUCAAGAUUUAUUCUGAUCCACCUACAAUAAUACAGAUGCCCCCCCUCAUUUUAUUGUGUUAUUUAUUUUUUUCCGGAGGGGUGGUUAUGGUAUUGAUGAGUUGCACUAAGAUUUAGAGUGUGAUAGGAAUCGUUGGAGUGCCAGUAUUGUGAAGUUUUGUUAAUAUCACUGAAAUUCAUUUUGUAAUACAGAUGAUGUAUACUCUUUUCCUUUCAAUUUCUGCUUCUUUCUACAUUCUCAAUCUCGACGAAUUACAUAUUCUUUUUUCUGUUGACAGAAGAAUAGGGAUAUGGGGGAGAAGAAUAGAAUAUUGGCUGUUUAAAAGUUUUUUUUUUUUUUCAAUCUACAGAUCUAUCCUCAAUUGUUUUGUUUUCCAAAUUAUUUUCAGGAAGGCAAAGUCAAAGAAGUGAUGUAAGGCAUGCUCAGGGAAGAUGGAUAUAUAUAUAUGCAGUCUGCAGGAGAGUCAGGAAGGGUUUUGAUGAUAGUUAUGGGAAUAUCUAUAUAAAUACACAAAACAUGUAUACAUAUAACAAGUGGCUUCAGAUAUUAACAUGUCACCAAGAUCACAUUUUAUUUUAAACUCUACAGAUGUGUGCACUUUUGCAGUUCAAAAUUUUCUAUAUAUAUAAAAAAAAAUUGAACUAUUGGAAAGUGGCCUAUGGACAAUUUUACAGCAUGAGUGUGUGUUAUGUUGACUUACUCUUAUUCCUAUGUUUUCAUGUAAAUUGUAAAUAGAUAGUUAUUAGUAUAAGGUGUGGAAUCGGAUGAACAUUGGGAAGUGGAGAGAGAUUUUUUUUGGCUGACCAAUGUGUAGUAUUGUGCAAUAUUUAAAUGACCAAUUAAGUGUGUGGAUUACAAUGUUCUUUAAAAUCGUGGAGAGGCAUGGGGUGGAGCGUGCGGAAUGUGAUACUGUUCUUAUUCUUUUUUAUUUUUACAUAAAUUUUUGAAAUAUAUGAUCUAAGAUAUCAUUUAUGGAAUGGCUUUUCUUAUUUUUCUAUUGAAAUAUGUGUUUGUGGAGAUUACAAUUAUGCUUUUAGAAUCUACUAGAUAUUUCAUGUGCUUUAUGCUGUGUCUGUGUUGACUAUUAAGUACUAGUAUCAAAACAGCACAGCCGUUGUUGGUAUCGAAUUAAAGCACAACAUGUUUUAUCGAUGUACAAAGUAAUAGAGAGAAAAAAAGAAAGAAAAUGCAAUCUUGUUUUGUCAAAAUUGUCUACAGAGUCUACACAGAGAAGAAAUUUUAAUGCUAUGAAUGAGUAUAUUUUAUGAAAUAUUAUUGUAAGAAGUGUCUUGAAAUAUUUUUUCAGAAGUGAACGUAUAGGACUCCAUGUGUAUGUCUAAAUGUAUUUUGAUUGAUGUAAUUCUCACUUGUAUGAUUAUGUUCAUUGUCCAAGCAUCACUGAUAAUAAAUAUAUAUAGGCAGUUUCAUAGUUUCUCUUCAUUUUAUAGCGGCCCUCUCCCAAGGCCUGAUGAAAUGAUAAUUAAAAAGAAAUAAAUAACGUUCUUUAUCAAAGUGGUCUGGGUGGGGGUGUCGUGGUCUAGUGGUUUAAACUCUCGUCUUUCAAUCAGAGGGUUGUGGGUUCAAAUCCCAGCCAUGGCGUGUUUUCCUUCAGCAAGAAAUUUACCCACAUUGUGCUGUACUCGAUCCAGGUUAGGUGAAUGGGUACCUGGCAGGGUUAAUUCCUUGAAUGCACCAAGCAGCUUGAGCUAAAGCUGGGGUAAUAUAUGGUGCACUAUUGAAUAGGUAAUCGGGGCCUCAUAAAUUCCAAAUGUUAAAGGGCAAAACAAUGUGGUGUGACAUAGAGAGAUGUAAUGAAUUUUUACAAAUGACAAUCUUAACUUUUGUGUGUAGUUUGCCAUAGACUUGAGAUACAUUCACCUGUAACAAGUUAUUGUAUCUCAUUAUGUUACAUGGUGUAGGAGUCACAUGGAUUCCAUCUCAAAUUAGUUUUCUUCUGUAAUUAAUCUGUUUUCUUAACAGAGAAGGUGGCAAGGACUUGCUGGAUGUAAUCUGUUCCCGUAACCAUAGAAACAAACUAUAUAUUUUUUUCAAUUACAGAAAACAAAAUCAUACUGAUGUUUGGUAGAACCUUCAAAACCUCCCGUUGCUAUUAUUUUAUUCCACCUAAUUUUUGUGUUUUCUGAGUGGCACCCUUUGUCCCUUCCUUUGUUGUUUUAGCCAAAACAUCAUUUCAGAAAAUAAUUUGAUUAAAAGUUUCGUUAUUUUGAAUUUUCAAAUGGCAAGCUAUGAGUGUAUGGAUGGAUUUAUUUUAAAAUUUGCUGAAUAUUCUUGUAAAUGCUAUUCAUUUCUACAUUAACAAAGCAUAUUCAGAUUAAUAAUUGCAGUGCCCUUAUUUACUACAAUAUAAAUGAAGCCCUUGUUAAUUAAUUUGUUUUCAUUUUUAAUGAAUUUAUUUUUUGAAUUUAAUAAGUGCCAAAUUUUCAUCCACAAAUUUUCUUGCAUUUUAUAAAGUUGUUGUGAAAUGUGUAGUAAUUAUGAACAUUGUUGCAAUAGCCACCCAAUUGUAAAUCAUCCAUACGACUUUUUGUUUCAUUUGCAAUUAGUUAAUUGAAUGGAGUAGAUAUCUGUUUUGUGCUUGCAUUCUUAAUUCAUGUAGGCAUCAUUUCAUGAAUGCCUUGUAAUUACAUGAUGGUCCUUAUCCUAUUGAAUUUGUGUUGAUCAGGAAGCAUAGUUCAUUAAGUGGUAGUGAACUUUGACUAGUGAUGUCACUUUACCAUGCGUAUGAGAUAUCUUUAUGCAAUCUUAAAAAUCAUGAAAAAAAAAAUGCUUUCACCAAACUAAUCUUCAAUAUGAUUUAAUAGCUGAUAUGGAAUUUCAAAUUCACCAUCGAACAAAACAAAUUGAUUAUGCUUCCCGAGUGUAUUAGCAUAAAUUUAGAGGGGUCAUCCCUUGUAGUGUUGAUAACACAUGGCAGAUUCUUUAUUGUAUUACUUUUCUUUCAAGAAGAAGAUAGUUUAAUGAGAUGAAUCAGAUUUUACAAUAGGCAUUUUUACAAGACUUCUAUUAUGUAAAUACCAUCAACUGCCUUUUUCCAUUGAUUUCUUGUUACUGUGAAUUUUUUUGUUGCCAUUUUACCAGGGAUGGAUUAUUUUCUACUUUUUACAAAAAGUAAAUAUUGAGAAUCUCAUACAAAGAUACCCCAUUUUGCUACCACUUUCUAUGAACUUUUUAAAAGUGAAUGUCAAUCAAAUCGCAACAGUGCAUAUGCAACUGUUUAUUUGCUUUUAUCAUUUCUGUUAUAUUUGUACCUUGAUAUAUAUUUGUGUAUUUUAAUGAAAGCAAAGCAGUUAUGUAUGAGAAAUGUGUAUUAUCAUUUUAAAAUUGAAAUAAAUAAAUCUUAUUUCAAUACAUUGUAA